rnacentral:lncRNA from 1 species
UCAAUGAACCGGCUUAAAUGAACAACUUUUCAACAAACAGAAUACAACCAAAACAGGUAUUCACACACAACAACCAACAAACAGAAUAUAUCCAAGUCAGGUAUUCACAGACAACACCAGAUGCUCACAAAUACAGAGUCAAAUAAUCACAUAUGAUACCGAAGAUAAGGACAGAGUUACCAUCCUUCUUCGCGACCGGAGAAGAUCGACCUUCAAACAACAGAGAAACCCUAGGUAUCAAACCCUAGGUGUAACCUUGAAAACAAACUUUACUGGAAAUCUGGUCAGGAACGUCGGAAAUGCACCCAAAGCGUCCACAAAGUGAUAAUCGAGUCACCGGAAUAC